rnacentral:rRNA from 1 species
ACGGAAGGCAGCAGUGGGGAAUAUUAGGCAAUGGGGGCAACCCUGACCUAGCAACGCCGCGUGAAGGAUGAAGGUUUUCGGAUUGUAAACUUCUUUGGCAGGGGACGAUAAUGACGGUACCCUGAGAACAAGCCACGGCUAACUACGUGCCAGCAGCCGCGGUAAUACGUAGGUGGCGAGCGUUGUCCGGGUUUACUGGGUGUAAAGGGCGAGUAGGCGGGAAUGCAAGUCAGAUGUGAAAUACCGAGGCUUAACCUCGGAGCUGCAUUUGAAACUGCAUUUCUUGAGUGAUGGAGAGGCAGGCGGAAUUCCCGGUGUAGCGGUGAAAUGCAUAGAUAUUAGGAGGAACACCAGUGGCGAAGGCGGAUUGCUGGACAGUAACUGACGGUGAGGCGCGAAAGCGUGGGGAGCAAACAGGAUUAGAUACCCUGGUA